AUACGUAGGGUGCAAGCGUUAAUCGGAAUUACUGGGCGUAAAGCGUGCGCAGGCGGUUUUGUAAGACAGAGGUGAAAUCCCCGGGGUCAACCUGGGAACUGCCUUUGUGAAUGCAAGGCUAGAGUACGGGAGCGGGGGAUGGAAAUCCGCGUGUAGCAGUGAAAUGCGUAGAUAUGCGGAGGAAAACCGAUGGUGAAGGCAAUCCCCUGGUCCUGCAGGGACGCUCAUGCACGAAAGCGUGGGGAGCAAACAGGAUUAGAUACCCUGGUAGGCCGCGCCCUAAACGAUGUUAACUGGUUGGUGGGAAUUUAGUUUCUCAGUGACUAAGCUAACACGUGUAGGUGUCCGCCUGGGGAGUACGGCCUCAAGGUUAAAGCUCAAAUUAAUUGACGGGG
rnacentral:rRNA from 1 species